GACGAACGCUGGCGGCGUGCUUAACACAUGCAAGUCGAACGGUAAGGCCCCAGCUUGCUGGGGUACACGAGUGGCGAACGGGUGAGUAACACGUGGGUGACCUGCCCCGCACUUCGGGAUAAGCCUGGGAAACUGGGUCUAAUACCGGAUAGGACCGCACCGUGAGGGUGUGGUGGAAAGUUUUUCGGUGUGGGAUGGGCCCGCGGCCUAUCAGCUUGUUGGUGGGGUAAUGGCCUACCAAGGCGGCGACGGGUAGCCGGCCUGAGAGGGUGGACGGCCACAUUGGGACUGAGACACGGCCCAGACUCCUACGGGAGGCAGCAGUGGGGAAUAUUGCACAAUGGGCGGAAGCCUGAUGCAGCGACGCCGCGUGGGGGAUGACGGCCUUCGGGUUGUAAACUCCUUUCACCAUCGACGAAGGUUUUCUGACGGUAGAUGGAGAAGAAGCACCGGCUAAUUACGUG
rnacentral:rRNA from 1 species